GUAAUAUUAGUUUCGUUC
rnacentral:snRNA from 1 species